GGAUUGAACGCUGGCGGCAGGCCUAACACAUGCAAGUCGAGCGGUAGAGAGGUGCUUGCAUCUCUUGAGAGCGGCGGACGGGUGAGUAAUGCCUAGGAAUCUGCCUAGUGGUGGGGGAUAACGUUCGGAAACGGACGCUAAUACCGCAUACGUCCUACGGGAGAAAGCGGGGGACCUUCGGGCCUCGCGCCAUUAGAUGAGCCUAGGUCGGAUUAGCUAGUUGGUGAGGUAAUGGCUCACCAAGGCGACGAUCCGUAACUGGUCUGAGAGGAUGAUCAGUCACACUGGAACUGAGACACGGUCCAGACUCCUACGGGAGCAGCAGUGGGAAUAGUUGGACAAUGGGCGAAAGCCUGAUCCAGCCAUGCCGCGUGUGUGAAGAAGGUCUUCGGAUUGUAAAGCAUUUAAGUGGAGGAAGGUUAGUAACUUAAGUACGUUAGACUAACUUUGAACGUUACCGACAGAAUAAGCACGCUAACUCGCG
rnacentral:rRNA from 1 species